AUGCUCUCUCAAGGUUUCAAAAGGUCUAAUUAUGAUAGUUGUGUUUAUUUGAAAACCGUCAAUGGUUCAACUAUUUAUCUGCUCCUUUAUGUUGAUGAUAUGCUUAUUGCUGCAAAGAGUAUGUCAGAGAUUAAUGAACUAAAGAAGCAAUUGAGUAAUGAAUUUGAGAUGAAGGAUUUGGGUGCAGCAAAGAAAAUUCUUGGCAUGGAAAUAUCCAGAGAUAGAUCGUCUGGAAAAGUAUAUCUAAGUCAGAAGGGAUAUAUUGAUAAAGUUCUUUGUCAUUUUAAUAUGCAUAAUGCCAAGCCAGUGAGUACACCAUUAGCUGCACACUUCAAAUUGUCAUCAGCUUUAUGUCCUAAGUCAGAUGCAGAUACUGAGUACAUGUCUAGAGUUCCCUAUUCAAGUGCAGUUGGUUCUCUUAUGUAUGUCAUGGUUUGUUCUCGUCCUGACUUAUCAUAUGCAUUGAGUGUUGUCAGUAGAUACAUGGCUAAUCCUGGAAAAGAGCAUUGGAAAGCAGUUCAGUGA
rnacentral:rRNA from 1 species